CAUAAAAUGAUCCAUGUCCCAUACCAUGAUCAUCUCUCAACAAUCACCUCAGGAUGAAAUAAAACAAGUAAUAACAUAAUGCAUAUCCAAAUGAGAUAUGAGUUCAAUACUACUAAUCCACGCAGUGUUACAUGACCAGAGCAUUGACUCACUACUUAGUCUCUAAACUGAAACACGGAAACUCUCCAGCUAAAGCUCGAGUGAGCUACCGUCCACUUACUUCAGCAAUACUAC
rnacentral:lncRNA from 1 species